GCCCACAUAGCUCAGUCGGCAGAGCGCGAUCUUGGUAAGAUCGAGGUCAUCGGUUCGAAUCCGAUUGUGGGCU
rnacentral:tRNA from 1 species